UACGUAGGGGGCUAGCGUUGUCCGGAUUUAUUGGGCGUAAAGAGCGUGUAGGCGGCCAGGUAGGUCUGCUGUGAAAACUCGAGGCUCAACCUCGAGACGUCGGCGGAAACCAUCUGGCUAGAGUCCGGAAGAGGAGAGUGGAAUUCCUGGUGUAGCGGUGAAAUGCGUAGAGAUGUGGAGGAAUACCGAUGGCGAAGGCAGCCUCCUGGGCCAACACUGACGCUCAUGCACGAAAGCGUGGGGAGCAAACAGG
rnacentral:rRNA from 1 species